UGAGCCAUCUGCCCUUCUCAUCGGAAUAAGCGUUGGAAACGACGUCUAAUGCCGAAUACGACCUCCUUUCACAUGAUCGGAGGUGGAAAGCUCCGGCGGAGAAGGAUGAGCUCGCGGCCUAUCAGCUAGUUGGUGUGGGUAACGCCCACCAAGGCGACGACGGGUAGCCGGCCUGAGAGGGUGACCGGCCACACGUGGGACUGAGACACGGCCCAGACCUCCGUACGGGAGG
rnacentral:rRNA from 1 species